UACAGAGGGUGCAAGCGUUGUUCGGAAUUAUUGGGCGUAAAGCGCGUGUAGGCGGCUUAGCAAGUCGGGCGUGAAAGCCCUCGGCUCAACCGAGGAAGUGCACCCGAAACUGCUGAGCUUGAGUGCCGGAGAGGAUGGCGGAAUACCCCAAGUAGAGGUGAAAUUCGUAGAUAUGGGGUGGAACACCGGUGGCGAAAGCGACUUCCUGGACCAAUACUGACGCUCAUGUGCGAAAGCGUGGGGAGCAAACAGG
rnacentral:rRNA from 1 species